rnacentral:rRNA from 1 species
AUUGAACGCUGGCGGCAGGCCUAACACAUGCAAGUCGAGCGAGCGGCGGACGGGUGAGUAAUGUCUGGGAAACCGCCUGAUGGAGGGGGAUAACUACUGGAAACGGUAGCUAAUACCGCAUAACAUCAGAUGUGCCGAGAUGGGAUUGGCUGGUAGGUGGGGUAAUGGCUCACCUAGGCGACGACCCCUAGCUGGUCGGAGAGGAUGACCAGCCACACUGGAACUGGGCCACGGUCCAGACUCCUACGGGAGGCAGCAGUGGGGAAUAUUGGGCAAUGGGCGAAAGCCUGAUGCAGCCAUGCCGCGUGUGUGAAGAAGGCCUUCGGGUUGUAAAGCACUUUCAGCGGGGAGGCGUUACCCGCAGAGAAAGCACCGGCUAACUCCGUGCCAGCAGCCGCGGUAAUAC